AUCUACCCUGUAAUCUGUAUGCGAAAAACGGAAUCUAAGGAAGCUGGGGAUUGUUUUUAUCAUGAAAAAUUAUUCAGUAAAGUUCAUGUCAAUUUUACGUGGCUGAAGAAGAGGAAUCAAAAGGUUUUAGGUUCUUUCAUUUGUGAAAGAAACAUUUCUUCUGUUUUAAGGAAUUUUUUUUUCGUUCUGAGUUGAAGGAUGUUCGGGAGACCCCAUAAUCGUCUUCUCCCCACGGGAUACAAACUUAUCCAAAUUUACACCCCCAAAAAAUCAGACUCAUUAUCCCACAGCAUUUUAUAUUUAAUUAAUUUAAAUUCCUUGCUUUCUUGACAAAAGUUUGUAAUUAUACUUGAAUUUCUAAAAAAAUUAUUAAGGGUAUAAUUGUAUUCAAAUUUAAUUAUUAUGCAUAUUAGUGAACACAAUUUGAGCACUUGAAACAAGGGAGGCAACUCCUCAUGACUUAUUGGUACCUUCCUAAAGCAAGAAUUUUAUCCUGAUAGAUUCACUGCAUUAUCGAUAAAAAUGAUAUAAUACAGACACCCA